rnacentral:rRNA from 1 species
UACCGGGAGGCGACAGGGGGGAAUUUUGGACAAUGGGGGCAACCCCUGAUCCAGCAAUGCCGCGUGCAGGAAGAAGGCCUUCGGGUUGUAAACUGCUUUUGUACGGAACGAAAAGGCUCUGGUUAAUACCUGGGGCACAUGACGGUACCGUAAGAAUAAGCACCGGCUAACUACGUGCCAGCAGCCGCGGGU